rnacentral:tRNA from 1 species
AAGAAUUUAGUUAAAAAAAUAACAUUAACUUGUCAAGUUUAAAUUAUUGCCGAAAAAUAAUUCUUA